AGGACUCCAAGCCAAAAGAGUAGAUGCCUACACCCUCCAAACUCUGAGAUCGAGAGCCAAACUGCCCCGGCUUUUGAAUUCAGGCCCUACAGGGACACCUGCUGGCAAGUUUCUGUGUUGACUUUGGCUGCAGAAUUUAUUGUCUCAUCUGAGGAAAUGGACCAUUGGAAACGUUCGGUGAUAGGCUUUUAGCUCUUGGAGAAGGCAGCAGCCGUUUAACAGAUCAGCAACCCAAUGCACAGGGCUGCAGGGUGGCCGGGUUGGAAGCCUUCCCCUCCCCUACGAAGAGCAAGCACAUCGGGAGACGACGGGGAACGGGGAACAGGCCAAGUACACUUUCUUUUGCAAAGACCCCUUUGCACCUUUAAGGACUGGAGACUUCGGAUGGAAGCAGGGCACAGCCCAC